rnacentral:rRNA from 1 species
UACGAAGGGUGCAAGCGUUACUCGGAAUUACUGGGCGUAAAGGGUGCGUAGGCGGUUUCUCAAGUCCGCUGUGAAAUCCCCGGGCUCAACCUGGGAAUGGCAGUGGAAACUAGGAGACUUGAAUCUGGCAGAGGGGGGUGGAAUUCCACGUGUAGCAGUGAAAUGCGUAGAGAUGUGGAGGAACACCGAUGGCGAAGGCAGCCCCCUGGGCUGAGAUUGACGCUCAGGCACGAAAGCGUGGGGAGCAAACAGGG